UACGAAGGGGGCAAGCGUUACUCGGAAUUAUUGGGCGUAAAGCGUGCGUAGGCUGUGUUAUAAGUUAUAGGUGAAAUCCUUGGGCUUAACCCAAGAACUGCCUGUAAAACUUUAUCACUUGAGUACUGGAGAAGGUAGAAAAAUUCUUGAUGUAGGGGUGAAAUCCGUAGAUAUCAAGAGGAAUACCAAAGGCGAAAGCAUCUAUCUAGACAGUUACUGACGCUGAGGUACGAAGGCGUGGGGAGCAAACAGG
rnacentral:rRNA from 1 species